rnacentral:rRNA from 1 species
UACGGAGGAUGCAAGCGUUAUCCGGAUUUAUUGGGCGUAAAGCGUCCGCAGGGGGCUAUUCAAGUCUGCUGUCAAAGCUCGGAGCUUAACUCCGAAUCGGCGGUGGAAACUGAACAGCCAGAGUGCAGUAGGGGUAGAGGGAAUUCCCAGUGUAGCGGUGAAAUGCGUAGAGAUUGGGAAGAACACCGGUGGCGAAAGCGCUCUACUGGACUGCAACUGACACUCAGGGACGAAAGCUAGGGGAGCGAAUGGG